rnacentral:rRNA from 1 species
AUUGAACGCUGGCGGCAUGCUUUACACAUGCAAGUCGAACGGUAACAGGCCGCAAGGUGCUGACGAGUGGCGAACGGGUGAGUAAUGCAUCGGAACGUGCCCAGUCGUGGGGGAUAACGCAGCGAAAGCUGUGCUAAUACCGCAUACGAUCUAUGGAUGAAAGCGGGGGACCGUAAGGCCUCGCGCGAUUGGAGCGGCCGAUGUCAGAUUAGCUAGUUGGUGGGGUAAAGGCCCACCAAGGCGACGAUCUGUAGCUGGUCUGAGAGGACGACCAGCCACACUGGGACUGAGACACGGCCCAGACUCCUACGGGAGGCAGCAGUGGGGAAUUUUGGACAAUGGGCGCAAGCCUGAUCCAGCAAUGCCGCGUGCAGGAAGAAGGCCUUCGGGUUGUAAACUGCUUUUGUACGGAACGAAACGGUCUGGGUUAAUACCCUGGGCUAAUGACGGUACCGUAAGAAUAAGCACCGGCUAACUACGUGCCAGCCGCCGCCGUAAUAC